GCAGUCGAACGCGUUGGCCCAACUGAUUGAUUGUGCUUGCACAUGAUUGACGUUGGUUUCCCAACGAGUGGCGGACGGGUGAGUAACACGUAGGCAACCUGCCCCGAAGCGGGGGACAACAUUUGGAAACAAGUGCUAAUACCGCAUAACAACUUUGACCGCCUGGUCAAAGCUUAAAAGAUGGUUUCGGCUAUCACUUCGGGAUGGGCCUGCGGCGCAUUAGCUUGUUGGUGGGGUAACGGCCUACCAAGGCGAUGAUGCGUAGCCGAGUUGAGAGACUGAUCGGCCACAAUGGGACUGAGACACGGCCCAUACUCCUACGGGAGGCAGCAGUAGGGAAUCUUCCACAAUGGGCGCAAGCCUGAUGGAGCAACACCGCGUGAGUGAAGAAGGGUUUCGGCUCGUAAAGCUCUGUUGUUGAAGAAGAAUGUGCAAGAGAGUAACUGUUCUUGUAUUGACGGUAUUCAACCAGAAAGUCACGGCUAACUACGUGCCAGCAGCCGCGGUAAUACGUAGGUGGCAAGCGUUAUCCGGAUUUAUUGGGCGUAAAGCGAGCGCAGGCGGUUUUCUAAGUCUGAUGUGAAAGCCUUCGGCUUAACCGAAGAAGUGCAUCGGAAACUGGAUGACUUGAGUGCAGAAGAGGGCAGUGGAACUCCAUGUGUAGCG
rnacentral:rRNA from 2 species